rnacentral:rRNA from 1 species
AUAUAAGAUUUAACCUGCCCACUGAAUAAUUGAAUGGCCGCGGUAUUUUGACCGUGCAAAGGUAGCAUAAUAAUUAGUUUUUUGAUUGAAAGCUGGAAUGAAUGGUUGGACGAGAAAAUUACUGUCUCUAAUUAAAUUUAAAUAAAACUUUAUUUUUAAGUUAAAAAGCUUAAAUGUUAAUGAAAGACGAGAAGACCCUAUAGAGUUUUAUAAUUGUUAUGAAAAUAUAAUUUUAAGUAUUUAGAUUUUGUUUUCUAAAAAUUAUUUUAUUGGGGUGAUAAAAAGAUUUAAUAAACUCUUUUUUUAUUUAUACAUUUAUAUAUGAUUAUUUGAUCCAUUUUUUGUGAUUAUAAGAAUAAAUUACCUUAGGGAUAACAGCGUAAUCUUUUUAGAGAGUUCUUAUCGAAAUAAGGGAUUGCGACCUCGAUGUUGGAUUAAAGUUAAUUCUUGGUGUAGAAGCUUGGAAAUUGAGUCUGUUCGACUUUUAAAACUUUACAUGAUCUGAGUUUAAACCGGUGUGAGCCAGGUUGGUUUCUAUCUUUAUUUAGUUAAAAUGUCUUAGUACGAAAGGACCAA